GACGAACGCUGGCGGCGUGCUUAACACAUGCAAGUCGAACGGAAAGGCCCCUUCGGGGGUCCUCGAGUGGCGAACAGGUGAGUAACACGUGAGUAACCUGCCCUUGACUUCGGGAUAACUUCAGGAAACUGGGGCUAAUACCGGAUAGGAAUCCUUGCUGCAUGGUGGGGGUUGGAAAGCUUCGGCGGUUUUGGAUGGACUCGCGGCUUAUCAGCUUGUUGGUGGGGUAGUGGCUUACCAAGGCUUUGACGGGUAGCCGGCCUGAGAGGGCGACCGGCCACAUUGGGGCUGAGAGAAGGCACAGACAGCUACGGGAGGCAGCAGUGGGGAAUAUUGCACGAUGGGCGGAAGCCUGAUGCAGCAACGCCGCGUGCGGGAAGACGGUCUUCGGGUUGUAAACCGCUUUCAGCAGGGGCGAAGCUUGUGGUGACGGUACCUGCAGAAGAAGCACCGGCUAACUACGUG
rnacentral:rRNA from 1 species